GCAGUGCUUCAGGCUUCAGCAGCCUUGGAGAAGCAUCAGCUGAGAGGAGCUAUCACAUGGGAGCCGGGACUGCUCAGCAAAGGUAGGAGUUGCCGACUAGGCCAGGAAUGGGGGCCAGACCCAGGGCCUGGUGGUGAGUGCCAAGGUAUAGCCACAGAAGGGUGGCUUUCCAAGGACCAGCCCUGCCUACAUUCUGAUGGAUUUAUGAGGAAACUGAAAUUCAGAAGAUUCACAGAGUUAGUAAUGCCCAGAACUGGGACUAGAAACUAAAUUUUGUGCUCCUUCUACUCCCCAGCAGCUCUUGCCAUUCUGAGGAGACAAGAAAUCAGGAAAUUUACAUAAGGAACCCUAAAACUGAGGCACUAUCCCAGAGAUCAGCAGGACCCUGGGAAGGAGAAACAGGAUUUAGAAUCCCCGGCUAACAGUUCUGGAAAGGGUAGAAGGGUAUGGAAAACAAGAAUGGCAGAAAGGAGAUGGAAAAGGAAGAGGUGAAGGCCAUUCCGAAAGCGGAGUGUUGAGUGGGUCAGGCUCCUGCACCUCUCACGUCUCCUGCUUCUUAGCAGUCACCAAGGCAGACCCUGGAGCUACCUCCGGUCAGAAAGGGGAUGAGCUUCUGAUCCUUCAGCUGCCUGGCCUGGCGCUCUGUACGCAGACAAACCUGCCCAAGAGGCUCCAGUGGGAGGUGCCCCCUACGAAACCAGGAAGCCUGGGCCUGGGCUCGCCAUCCCAGGGUCGCUGGACUAGGAUGGGGGAUGGGCCUGUGACAGGAGGUACCCUGGGUGCCCUCUUUCGGCCCCAUGGAGUCCUCACCCAUCCCCCAGUCAUCAGGGAACUCUUCCACUUUGGGGAGGGUCCCUCAAACCCCAGGUCCCUCUACUGCCAGUGGGGUCCCGGAGGUGGGGCUACGGGAUGUUGCUUCGGAAUCUGUGGCUCUCUUCUUCAUGCUCCUGCUGGACUUGACUGCUGUGGCUGGCAAUGCCGCUGUGAUGGCUGUGAUCGCCAAGACGCCUGCCCUCCGAAAAUUUGUCUUCGUCUUCCACCUCUGCCUGGUGGACCUGCUGGCUGCCCUGACCCUCAUGCCCCUGGCCAUGCUCUCCAGCUCCGCCCUCUUUGACCACGCCCUCUUUGGGGAGGUGGCCUGCCGCCUCUACUUGUUUCUGAGCGUGUGCUUUGUCAGCCUGGCCAUCCUCUCGGUGUCAGCCAUCAAUGUGGAGCGCUACUAUUACGUGGUCCACCCCAUGCGCUACGAGGUGCGCAUGACGCUGGGGCUGGUGGCCUCUGUGCUGGUGGGUGUGUGGGUGAAGGCCUUGGCCAUGGCUUCUGUGCCAGUGUUGGGAAGGGUCUCCUGGGAGGAAGGAGCUCCCAGUGUCCCCCCAGGCUGUUCACUCCAAUGGAGCCACAGUGCCUACUGCCAGCUUUUUGUGGUGGUCUUUGCUGUCCUUUACUUUCUGUUGCCCCUGCUCCUCAUCCUUGUGGUCUACUGCAGCAUGUUCCGAGUGGCCCGCGUGGCUGCCAUGCAGCACGGGCCGCUGCCCACGUGGAUGGAGACACCCCGGCAACGCUCCGAAUCUCUCAGCAGCCGCUCCACGAUGGUCACCAGCUCGGGGGCCCCCCAGACCACCCCACACCGGACGUUUGGGGGAGGGAAAGCAGCAGUGGUUCUCCUGGCUGUGGGGGGACAGUUCCUGCUCUGUUGGUUGCCCUACUUCUCUUUCCACCUCUAUGUUGCCCUGAGUGCUCAGCCCAUUUCAACUGGGCAGGUGGAGAGUGUGGUCACCUGGAUUGGCUACUUUUGCUUCACUUCCAACCCUUUCUUCUAUGGAUGUCUCAACCGGCAGAUCCGGGGGGAGCUCAGCAAGCAGUUUGUCUGCUUCUUCAAGCCAGGUCCAGAGGAGGAGCUGAGGCUGCCUAGCCGGGAGGGCUCCAUUGAGGAGAACUUCCUGCAGUUCCUUCAGGGGACUGGCUGUCCUUCUGAGUCCUGGGUUUCCCGACCCCUACCCAGCCCCAAGCAGGAGCUACCUGCUGUUGACUUUCGAAUCCCAGGCCAGAUAGCUGAGGAGACCUCUGAGUUCCUGGAGCAGCAACUCACCAGCGACAUCAUCAUGUCAGACAGCUACCUCCGUCCUGCCGCCUCACCCCGGCUGGAGUCAUGAUGGGCCGCUGGACACUCGGAGGGAUAUGGGGCUGGGGCCAGUUAUGAUUGCAAGGACCACCUUGUGGGAUCACCUUUUCCCAGCUGGCUAGGGCUGAGGCUGGGGUCUCUGCACACAGCUUUUGCUUAGUGUUUCCUGGGUCAGGAACAGAGCCAACAGGAUGAACGUGUGCAAAAACCUUGGACUUGGCUGUGAUCUUUGACUGCUAGGGGAGGGAACCUGGGUAUGGUGAGACGGUGACGAGAGAAAAGGGUCACAAAGGACUGGCCUCCCUGAUCUCUCUCCUCAUGGCAGCGACCCAUCUCCAGUCCCCUGGACAAUCGGGUACAAGAGACUUAAGGUUGGGCAUGGGAAGGGCGGGGCUUCCAUGAUCCAUUAAAUGCCUUCCUACUCCCAUUCAUCGCUCUCAAAAUUAGCUUCAGUGACAAAGACUUAAAUCUCUCUCCUAUCUGCAGCAAUGGGUUGGAGAGAGGGCAUGGGAGUUGGUCUUGGCUGUUCAUUGAUUGAGACUGUAGGAACUGUGUUGGUUGGUAUUGGUGGUGGUAUUUUCAAGAAACAGGGAAUAACUGCAAACUGGACAGGACACCCAUCUGGGACCACCUGUCCAUCCUACUUCCCUCAAUUGAAUCAGGAGUGGAUCAUGAAGGAAAUAAAAAUUUCUUUUAUUAUGCUGAGAACUUUCCCAACAAUUUCUACUAUGACCACCUUCCAGGAGUUUUCUAGUCACCAGAUGCCUUGGUAAAGUUCAAUAUGUAAUCUUUGGCUCUGAAAGCUGUUCCUGGACAAAAUCUGAGCUAACUCACUGAAGAAUCAACAGAUUGAGGCAACCAUCCGGUCAGUUACUUUUUCCUGCAUCCUGCUGGUGUUGGGGUAACUCCCAAUCCUAGAUGAAAACCUUAGACUUUCUGUUGUCAGGUGUCCCCAGGCAAUAUCCUACAGGGGCAUGAUAGAAAAGGGUAACUCUGGGGUCAGAUAGAUGUACUUACUCACUGUGUGAAGUUGGGAAAGCUGCUUAAUUUCUCUGAGCCUACUUCCUCACCUGUAAAAAUGGGGAUCAUUAUUACCUACCUCACAGGGUUGUUGUGAGGAUUAAGAGAUGGGAUGUGGGAGCACCUAGCCGUAUGUGGCAAAUAGGUACUCAAUAAAUACUGGUUUUACUUCC